GCAUGUUCUUGCUUCUGUCUCAGGCCCCCAUGUGGCCCUGCUGGCUCUCACGGCCUGGUCCUGGGGACACCGGGGGGUUGGAGGAAGCAAAGUGUCAUCGUCACCAUGGUAAUUACCAAUAACUGGUUUCUGCCAGGGCCCACAGGUGUCUUCUAGACUCUGAAGGAAGCGCCUGCGGGAAGCCUGGCUGUGUGAGCUGGUGCUGGGCCCCGGUGGCUUCACAGUGAUCCAGGCCGUGGCACCGUGGUGCUGGCUCGUCCCUCCCCGGGGGCACCUGCUUGCGCCUCCUGCCUGUGGCUCAGUUCGCACGCGGUUUUGGCCUGCACACCCUGGCCCCCUCCUGGCGCGCCGGCCCUGGGGACCCAGCAGCCACAGGCUGUCCCCAGGGCCCGUGGCCUCCGUCCCCAGCCGUGCCCACAUCCGGCCACGCCUCAGGCACCCCCUUCCCAGGCUGCUGGGCCUUUUGGGCCCUGAGCUUCUGGGCUGACCUCCUGGCCCCGAGGCUCUGCAGGCUGCUGUUUACCUGAGGUCUUGCCCAUUGGCUGGGGCUGCAGAAAUUGGGGUUCCGCCUGACCGAAGUCUCCACCUGACUUCCUGUUUCUGGUUCUGAGAUUUGGGCCAAAGGCCACAGAGCUAGUGGAUAAAGGACCAUUUGACCUCGCUGACACGUCAAGGGCCUGAGAGAAAGCGCUGCAGCGUGUUUAAGCGGGAGAGCGGCUGCAGGACCCAUGGCCUGUCUGGCACGUGGCCCAGCCCAACGCGGCCACCCCCCCAGUGGUGACGGAGCCACGAGGGGUGACAGGCCACCCGGCGCCCCCGACGCGCCCCCGGUCUUUCCAAGCGAGACCCGAGACCCGUCUCGGGCUGGAAUGCGGCAGAGGAAACGCUUUUGUGCAGCCCAGCUUAUCUGAUUUCCCAGCUUGUUGCUCCGUCUUAUCAAAACAGGCUGCUUCCUGUGUUACACAAGGCGAGGAGGUGUGAGCGGCCCGGGCAGCGGCUGCAGCGAAAGCCCGGCGUUGGAGGAGGUGGCCUUCUGCCCCUGGUCUGGACGGGACAGGCGGCUUGGGGCUUGGAUUGUGAGGAUGCCAGGUGAGGGACACGGCGGGCUGGACAAGGGGAGGCCCUUCACCAGCUGGUCUUCCCUCUUUGAGCCGCCCACAGGGUGGUGCCUGGUGUAGGCGGGCCUGGAGAACGGCGGAGGAGGACGCGUGUGCGCGGCUGAGACGGCCGUGUCCGCGGCCAGGGUGUGUUCGCCCCAGAUUAAUACUUCACAUAUUCAGCUCAGUGUUGUUAACUGCGGGUGCUGCUGUGGGCUGCCCAUCAGACCCUUGGGACUUAUCCACCUUGUAAUGGAAAGCUUGUAUCCUGUGACCAACAUCUCCUGAAAGCCCAGCCCCCAUGGGGAAGCCAUUCCACUCUCCAUUUCUGCAAACUGGACGCUUUAGAUCUGCACAUACAGGAACCAGAUGGCUGCGCAGACCUCACCCCACAGUGAUGUCCCAGUGUGUGGGGUGAAAGAGGAGGAGAAGGAAAGGGGGCCCAGCGAGACGCGAGACUGGAGGGGCAGCAUGGGCAGAGCUCCCGGCCUGGUGGGCAUCAUCCCACCACCUGGAGGACAGGUGAGUGUGGGCGUCACACCUGGGGGGGUCCCAGGAGUUUCUCCCCGAGGAAGCAGCUUGGGCCAGCACAGCAGGUGCUGACCUUCUCUGCAGAAGCUGCCUUGGACGUGGCUGGGAGUGUAACCACCCGCUCGGCUCUGGGGCUUAGCAGGGUGGGGGGUAGGGCCCAGUGGACACAGCUCGGAUUCAGGCAGGAAACGGGCUCUGAAUGCAGGAGGGUCCGGAAAUCACAGCGGUGAGAACCUUCCACCCAGAGUGUCCUGAGGACAGAAGCUCUGCAGAAGCCCGUCCUAGAAAAGCGUGUGGACGGAAGUUCUCGGCCCCAGGCUGGAGCAGACUGGCUUCUGCCCAGACCUGGGGGACCAGCUGCCCCAGGGCCUCAGUGUGGGGCUUACAGGGGUGUGGUGUCCAGCCCACCGCCUGUCACGCGGACGGGCUCUCUCCAGUGGCAGCUGCUGGUUCAGGCUGCGCUGCGUUGUCGUUAACCCCCACGCGGACUUUCGAGGACCAUCCUAAUGUGCCUGAACUCACUCCUUCUCCUCCUGGAGGGUCAUCUCUGAGCCCUAAGAGACAACGGCCCCCAAGGCCUCCAGGUCAGCACCCACUUUGGCCGUGGCUUGGAGGGCGUGCCCCGGCCUCCGGAGCUCUGCAGGGUCGUUGUCAGCUCACCCUUUCGUGACCAAGGUGGGCGGAGGACGCACCCUGGCCUCCGGAGCUCUGCAGGGUCACUGUGGCCCAGCAGAGCAGUGUGUGGAAUGUGUUUAUUUAGUUCCUGGCUCGUAGCAAGUGCUCGAUAAAUUUCAGAGAUUGUCGCAAAUAUUUCUAGCGCUGCUGAGGCCGAGUGUUUAAGACUGCAUCUGGUUCAUCUUAGAGCCUCUGCAGCCAAUCCCACCUCUGCCUUGGUUUAAACUUGGGCCUGGGAGCCGACCCCGAGGGGUUCCUGUAGAACAGUGAACCCCCUUCCACCUGUCAUGGGGAGGCCUGGGGUCUCCAGCCGAGCUGCGAGCAGUCCUCAGUGGUGGGUGGGCGACGAGACUGAAACUGCACAGCUAGAGUGCCUGUGUCCAGGGCUUGACUGAGGCUGACCCUGCGCCUGUUGCAGAGGGCUCUUGAGAGUCCCUGGGGCAGCAAGGAGAUCCAACCAGUCCAUCCUAAAGGAAAUUGAUCCUGAAUAUUCACUAGAAGGACUGAUGCUUAAGCUGAAACUCCAGUACUGUAGACA